rnacentral:rRNA from 1 species
GACGAACCACACAAACGUUAUUCGGAAUUACUGGGCUUAAAGGGUGCGUAGGCGGCGCGGAAAGUUGGGUGUGAAAUCCCUCGGCUCAACCGAGGAACUGCGCCCAAAACUACCGUGCUCGAGGGAGAUAGAGGUGAGCGGAACUUAGGGUGGAGCGGUGAAAUGCGUUGAUAUCGGAAGGAACGCCGGUGGCGAAAGCGACGUGCUGGACCUCUUCUGACGCUGAGGCGCGAAAGCUAGGGGAGCGAACGGG